CCCAGCCCUGCCCUCCAUGUGGGUGUCUGGCACUGGCCACCGUGACCCCAGCGAAGCCCUGCAAGGAUGGGCAGGGUGCCUGGCAAGCUGGCGUGCAGCCCUGGCGUGGUCUGCCCGCUCCUGCCCUGCUCUCUGCAGGAGGCUGCCAGGCUCUGGGCACUCUGGAGGGCUCACCCCGCACUGCCCCGAUGGGUUGGGGGGCACAGGUCGGUCCUGUGAGUCACAUCUCUGGGGGCACAGCAAGGGGCAGAUGCCGCUUCCCGGAGGCUGCGGGGCAGCAGAGGGUUAAGCAAGCGUCUGGCAGGCGGGAAGGGGACGGAGAGGAGGGGGGGGAGAGAUGGAGGAGUUUGUUUAAUAGCUGGAGACAAGCUAUGCAGCUGUGCAGGUCUGACGGGCCCUGCAGCGCCCCGACCCCUUUCCCCGCCACCCUGCCCAGCCGUGCCCGGGCACGGCCCCCCCUGGGCUGCCCCGGGGCGAGCAGGCAGGGCUGGGCAGGCAGUGCAGGCAGGGCAGGCUGGCUGGCACGGGGCUGGCAGCUGGGGAGCAUCAGCAGGGUUAUAAAAAGCAGGAAUGCUUCCCCCAGCAGCAGGACACCGAAGGCGAUGCCUGCCAGCCCCGGCAGGGAAGGCGGCGGGAGCAGGGGGCUGGCACGGGGGGAUCCCAGCAGCCAAGCCCCCCAGCCCCGGGGUGCUGGGGUGCAGGGGACCUUUUGGCACCGGGGCGCGACCCCAAGGGCUGAGCAGGUCUUACGGUCCCUGCGGGCUCCCGGGGUGGGUGGCAGCAUGUCGGUCUCCAGGCUGGCAUGGAGGGGCCACCAUACCCAGUCCUGGCAUCUCCCUGCUGCUCGGCCGCCAGCAUUGCUCGGCUCUGUCCUGGCAUCGUCCUCCUCCCUGAGGAUGCCCACCCGCUGCCUCGUCCUCCCUGGGGACACCCACCCUGCAGCCUGCUGGCAUCCGCUGCCUGGGGCGGGCGAGCCGGGUCCCCUGGCCCCGAGGAGGAGGCGUGAGACGGCAGGCGGGCAGGGGACAGAUGGCCGGAGCACGAAGCUGGCACAGGCUGUGCCGAGGCAUCCGAGAGCAGCCUGGGGCCUCCGCGCUGCUGCGCAGCGGGGCCAGGGGGGAGAGGGGAUGGGGAGGGAAGGGGGGAGUGGGGAU
rnacentral:lncRNA from 1 species